AUGCGGCUGCCCGCCGUGAUGCUCCGUGUGAUUUGUGCCAUUCCCCAAGGACAGCCUUCCUCCCAGCUGCCCACACCAGAAACGCAGCUAGGCCGUAACCCAUGGCAGUUCCCAGCAGCUGACAGGGCCACCAAAGCUCUUAGGAACUGCUAUAAAAUAAGCAAAUAUUCUUUGAGGUCCUUUAAUGUGUGCGCAGGACUGAUCCACUGCUUAUCUGCCUCAGCGUUAGCAAGGAGCAAAACCGGUAAUUGUUGCCAUGUAGUAGGUGUUGCUUGUGGACGGUCUGUCUCUGAGGCAGUCUUGCCAAAUGUCAUUUUCCUCUGGUAGCAGCCCUGGGUGUUCAGCUCUUCUGCAUAAGAAAUGUGUGAUAAAGAGUGACCUGAUCAUUGCUUUUGGUUUGCUGUUUGGAAAAAAAAAAUGUAGAAAAUACCACCUUAAUUGGUUGUUUUCACCAUGGAACAGGCAUUUCUUGAGGCAGCAGCCUGUUAGAUCCUUCCUACACACUGUGUUGUUGCUUCAUAAGUACACCUGGCCUGGCUAGGUUCAGGAUCACUCAUAGUCUGGGUUUACCACAGUUAUAAUUUGACCAUCAACACAUAGUCUUACUGUAAAAGGGAGCCUUGAAGACAGAUUCUCUUGACUGCAGUAAUUUGAGUAGAAUUGAGGAUCAGCUAGUUACAUGCUUUUAUGGGCCAGUAGGUGUACCUGUGUGGUUUAGGAGGUAACUUGGUGAUGUUUGGGGUGAGUAUUUCCUUCGUUAGUCUUUUGCACAUCUCUUUCAAGGAGAAUGUGUGCAUACCCAUUUAUUUCAUGGCUGCUGAGUCCAAAGGUGACCCGCAGGACUUGGGCAGCUCUGUGAAUUGGUGUACAGACUUAGAAGACAUGAAAAUCAGGUGGCCAUGCUUGGCUUUUUAAAAAGAUUUCACUGACAGAGUCUGAAUGAAAUAACUCUCUGGGGCUCAAAACAGCAGGCAUUGUCAGAUUCAAGGGAUUAAAAGACUUUUUAACAUGGCUUAGUAGUGUACAGAAGAUUGGCUUACUUGUAUGAGCGCUUCUUUCGUCACAUUGAUCUUUAUUUUGCAUUGUGCUCAGUACAACAGAAACUGAAGUUCCCAAAUCAUCUGACAGGACUUGGCCCUUUUAUUGCUUAGUAAAAUCUUUUUUUGUGAUGGCGGAAUUGAUUUUUGCCAGUGUAGCCAGUGUUGAGUAAUAGCUGAAGAACAGCAAGUUGUAAUAAUUUUAUGAACACUGUAUGUGGCCAGGUUGGUGAGAGGAAGUUACUAUACAAUGGGUUAUACUACUUUGUAUUACUUGCCUGUAUAAAUGUAUAUAUAGAUGUAUCGAUCUAACUUAAUAGGGAGCUAGCUGAUGAAGGAAUAAAAGGCAAUUCAGCAGUUCCCCUGUGUCAGCUAUAUGUGACUAAACCCACGAGGUGGUAAUUACAAGAUGAUAGCUCCAAUUCUGAGGGAUGCAGCUGGUUUGUCGGGCUGAGAACUAAAGAGGAUAAAGUUGGCAGAGACUGAUGGAAGAGAUAAUUUAACAUGGAGGCAGACUUUGCAGAAGAGGCUGGAAGAAGCUGGGCCUUCCUCUCUGCAGCAAUGGACUGGGUAACUUUAAAUUGUGUAACCAGUACGUAGUUUUAACCAGCAGAGAUUUGUAGCAAAUCGUGCAGUAAGGUUUCAUUCCAAGGAAUGUCAAGGGACAAGCUUUAAGACCCAGCAUAUUACAUCUACUUAAAAUAGAAAACUGCAGACAAAACCCCACCACCAGCAAAGACUGGAGAGAGCUUCUGGCAGCUAAAAUAUAUGCACAUUCUUCUCCUAACUCAUAAGAAAUAAUGGUAUGGGAAGUAUAUUUUGCACAAAUAUACUUCCAAAAAUGCACGUUAUAGAAAAAAAAAAGAGACUCCCAAACUUCAUUAACAAAUUUAGAACAUCCUGAAUCGUCUCAAAUUACAGCUUGACCCAACCCUGCUCAAUAAUGAAAAGAGUUUACAUCAACAGGGGAGGUAGAUUUGCCUUCCUGAUAAGGCGUAACUUUGUAAUUGAAAAUACUACUAAUAAAAUUUGCAUGUUGCAGAAGUAAAAAUGACAGCCGCAGCUUGAGACAUUCCCUGGAAUGACUAGAUGGGACUUCAAGCUACAGGAUAAAGCCUUAAACACCUUACUUUUGCAAUCUAUAAUGAAAGUAGCUAUCUCUUAUUGGAUGUGUUGUGUAUUGUAACCAUAGUAGUGUGAGCUCCUCGGACUAUAAAAACUUCAAAGGAAUAUGAAAAUGCAUAAGCUAUAAAAAGCGUAUUUGCAUGAUUCUAUAGAUACUCUGAACAAAACACAGUGUGCUUCAAUAAAAAGAAAAUGCAAUUUAAUUUGCCCCUGUCAAUGAUACGUAUUUCUAGCUGCUUUGGUUUUGUUUCUUGCAUGGGAAAGAAGAGCAGAGUACAGAGGAGGCUGAAUAGGUGUUUUUCCUGACUCCACAAAGGGCAUACUUCGAAUGAGUUCUUCCUGGACACGGAAUUCUGCCUGAACAGAGAUAGUUGCAAGGCCAGAGCCAAGCAUGAAAGAUAUCUCCCUUUCAAAUUAAAGCUUUUCUGUGCAUGACAAGGAAAUGCAUAGUGUUGUUUGGUGCAGUGCUGGAUAUACUGAACGACUUGUUCACUUACCUAAGGGAAUUGGGUUACUUCUGAGAUCCACGUCUGAAUGUAGCACCAGGUA